rnacentral:rRNA from 1 species
AUGUCUCCUCAUUCAUCAGAAAAGGACACAGAACAGACCAUGAGGAACAAACCACCUGUGGCAGAAAUGGUAACUUACAACAGGCUCAACAGGAGUAAACACCUAGCAACAAGCAAAAAAAAGAGAAAAUCAGAUACCAACACUGUUUUUACUCCUGGAGCAAAAAGGCAAAAGAAAAAGGAAAAUGCUGAAAACAUCGUCGACACUGGUACCUUGCAGCAUCAACCAUUACCUCUAAUGGUACUCCCGCCAACAGAACCAACCGGCACAAAGAAACAAGCUGAAUGCAAGAAGAAAAACAAACGGCAAAGGGUAGAAAAAGAACAAGACGAUACCAACAGCAAAGGUUUAGAUACCAAUGACGACGACGAUGACAGAUAG